CCCUACGGGACGCAGCAGUGGGGAAUAUUGGGCAAUGGAGGCAACUCUGACCCAGCAACGCCGCGUGAGCGAUGAAGGUCUUCGGAUUGUAAAGCUCUUUAAGUGGGGACGAAGAAAGUGACUGUACCCACAGAAUAAGCCUCGGCUAACUACGUGCCAGCAGCCGCGGUAAUACGUAGGGGGCAAGCGUUAUCCGGAUUUACUGGGUGUAAAGGGGGCGCAGACGGCGAUGCAAGCCAGGAGUGAAAGCCCGGGGCCCAACCCCGGGACUGCUCUUGGAACUGCGUGGCUGGCGUGCAGGAGGG
rnacentral:rRNA from 1 species